AAAUUGAAGAGUUUGAUCAUGGCUCAGAUUGAACGCUGGCGGCAGGCCUAACACAUGCAAGUCGAACGGUAACAGGAAGCAGCUUGCUGCUUCGCUGACGAGUGGCGGACGGGUGAGUAAUGUCUGGGAAACUGCCUGAUGGAGGGGGAUAACUACUGGAAACGGUAGCUAAUACCGCAUAACGUCGCAAGACCAAAGAGGGGGACCUUCGGGCCUCUUGCCAUCGGAUGUGCCCAGAUGGGAUUAGCUUGUUGGUGGGGUAACGGCUCACCAAGGCGACGAUCCCUAGCUGGUCUG
rnacentral:rRNA from 1 species